CCUCUUCCUGCCUUCCUCUCUCUCUCUCUCUCUCUCUCUCUUUCUUUCUUUGUUAAACUGUUUUUAAAGCUUGUUCCUCAAAGCAGAUGCAGUAUUUAAAGCCGGGGCCGGCAGGGACUGCUGUGUGAUCAGCGCGAGCGCGGGGUUAAUGAGAGCGGCGAGCGGCGGCGGCCCACUUCCCCAGCCAGAUUUCUUGCCAACUGACCCGGGCGGACUCUCCACCCGAGGGCCUCGAGACCGUGACCACGUGGUGACCAGCUGUUGGAUUCAGCAAGAUGGGGCACUUCGUGAGGGCCAGGUUGCCCCCCUGGAGUCACUUUCCUGUCCGAAUCACACCCAUUAGUGCUUUCUGCUGGUGGCAGAGUCUCCGGGUUUCUGCUUGUUGAAAAACCAACAACAUUGCCUUCGAUCUGGGGAGAGAUGCUGUCUGGGUAUCAGAGACGGUCCCAGUGGGGCGGAAACCUCUGUGUCACUGCUCUGGGGUGGCCAGGGGACUGUGCUGCCCCCUGCCCAGACUCCUUUCUGCCUUCUUAGCGAGGUUUUCUCUCUUUCUUUGCUUUCCAGAUUUCUUUUUCUUUGUGCGAUCAUUUAGGUGUGCAUUUCUCUGUGCAUCUUCUGCUUGGAAUUUGCUAGGAUUCUGGAAUCUGUGGAUUUGGUAUUUUUCAUCGAUUCUGGAAAUAUUUCAUUGUCCUUUCACGUUUUGGCUCUGUGACACUCUCUAAUAAAGCGUAUUUCAGAAUGUCUUACUCUCUGC